AUGGGCUGGAUUUGGAUCAUGCUCUAUCUGCUGGCAGCAGUUACAGGUAUCCACUCCCAGGUUCACCUACAACAGUCUGGUUCUGAACUGAGGAGUCCUGGAUCUUCAGUAAAGCUGUCAUGCAAGGAUUUUGAUUCAGAUGUCUUUCCUAUUGCUUAUAUGAGUUGGGUGAGGCAGAAGCCUGGGCAUGGAUUUGAAUGGAUUGGAGACAUACUCCCAAGUAUUGGUAGAACACUCUAUGGAGAGAAGUUUGAGGAUAGAGCCACACUGGAUGCAGACACAAUGUCCAACACAGCCUACUUGGAGCUCAACAGUUUGACAUCUGAGGACUCUGCUAUCUACUACUGUGCAAGGCACAGUGUAGCAGCUCAUAUGUGGAACAUGUCAAAAACUCUGAAUGCAGGAAGCUAUUUGGGGUCUGAUAUUACCACAAAAAAUAACCAAAGCAGUUGCUCAAAGCCUGUGGUUAAAUAUUGA